GUGUUUACUUCAGUAUCACCUAAAUUCAAAUUGGAGUGGUACAGAAGAUUAGCAUGGCCCCCUUUGCAAGGAUUAGACACAAAUUCAUAAAGAGAUGAUAAAAUGUUCU